CAUGAGCUGUCAGUCGACAGCGCCUGUAUGUCCCCCACCCAUUUAAAUGAGGCCAAAGCUAACAGGAGUGUGGUCUUUAUCAAAAGCACUUGCAACUUGACAGAUUCCAAUGGCUCGAACGGGGGGGCUCAUGAGUGCCUUAAGCACUAGAUUUAGGACCCAAGUUGGCACCAUAGCAGAGUGAGAGGCAUUCAGUUGCCUUGCUCCAGAAUUUUAUGAUCAGAUCAUGUCUGCCUAUAGAGGAACCCUCCUCCAUGAAACGCCGAAAUAGUCACUACAUGAACCUUAAGCGUUGAUGGGGGCGGGACCAGAGUCACAGCUCUCAUGUGCAUGGAAUCAAUCACAUACAGAUAAGCUCCAAGGCCGCAAACAUUUAAAGAAAUGGAUGCCAUCAGAGGAAUACUGUGAUUUAAGAUAUUUCCCUUGUGUACUGCCCAUCAACUUUGAGCACUUGACUCACCUGCUCCAAAACUCAGUGGUUCCAGCUCCAAUACAGAACACCUUUUAAAAUGUGUAAUAUGAGAUUGUUUAUUUUUCUGUUAUGUCAAAUUUCUUUUAAGUUACAAUGUCAUGUCUUGAAAUGAAAGUGCAAUACAAAAUAAAAAAAAACGUUACAUUGUC